rnacentral:rRNA from 1 species
GGGUUGUGAGGUUAAGCGACUAAGCGUACACGGUGGAUGCCCUGGCAGUCAGAGGCGAUGAAGGACGUGCUAAUCUGCGAUAAGCGCCGGUAAGGUGAUAUGAACCGUUAUAACCGGCGAUUUCCGAAUGGGGAAACCCAGUGUGAUUCGUCACACUAUCAUUAACUGAAUCCAUAGGUUAAUGAGGCGAACCGGGGGAACUGAAACAUCUAAGUACCCCGAGGAAAAGAAAUCAACCGAGAUUCCCCCAGUAGCGGCGAGCGAACGGGGAGGAGCCCAGAGCCUGAAUCAGCAUGUGUGUUAGUGGAAGCGUCUGGAAAGGCGCGCGAUACAGGGUGACAGCCCCGUACACAAAAGCGCAUGUGCUGUGAGCUCGAUGAGUAGGGCGGGACACGUGGUAUCCUGUCUGAAUAUGGGGGGACCAUCCUCCAAGGCUAAAUACUCCUGACUGACCGAUAGUGAACCAGUACCGUGAGGGAAAGGCGAAAAGAACCCCGGCGAGGGGAGUGAAAAAGAACCUGAAACCGUGUACGUACAAGCAGUGGGAGCCCCACCACCAAAGCAUUCUCUGGUGUUGAAGGCCCUGCAAAGCAGCAUCGCGGUGGCGGAGCGUCGUUUGCGACGCCCAACACACAAAACAAGCGGUGAAUGCUUUGGGGUGGGGUGACUGCGUACCUUUUGUAUAAUGGGUCAGCGACUUAUAUUCUGUAGCAAGGUUAACCGAAUAGGGGAGCCGGAGGGAAACCGAGUCUUAAUUGGGCGUUAAGUUGCAGGGUAUAGACCCGAAACCCGGUGAUCUAGCCAUGGGCAGGUUGAAGGUUGGGUAACACUAACUGGAGGACCGAACCGACUAAUGUUGAAAAAUUAGCGGAUGACCUGUGGCUGGGGGUGAAAGGCCAAUCAAACCGGGAGAUAGCUGGUUCUCCCCGAAAGCUAUUUAGGUAGCGCCUCGUGAAUUCAUCUCCGGGGGUAGAGCACUGUUUCGGCUAGGGGGCCAUCCCGGCUUACCAACCCGAUGCAAACUGCGAAUACCGGAGAAUGUUAUCACGGGAGACACACGGCGGGUGCUAACGUCCGUCGUGAAGAGGGAAACAACCCAGACCGCCAGCUAAGGUCCCAAAGUCAUGGUUAAGUGGGAAACGAUGUGGGAAGGCCCAGACAGCCAGGAUGUUGGCUUAGAAGCAGCCAUCAUUUAAAGAAAGCGUAAUAGCUCACUGGUCGAGUCGGCCUGCGCGGAAGAUGUAACGGGGCUAAACCAUGCACCGAAGCUGCGGCAGCGAACGUAUCACCCAAGACAACUUUACGGAGUUGACGAUUGACGGAGCGAAGCGACGUCAAAGCGUUCAUUAAAGUCGAGUUGGCUUAGGGAUACGUUCGUUGGGUAGGGGAGCGUUCUGUAAGCCUGUGAAGGUGUGUCGUGAGGCAUGCUGGAGGUAUCAGAAGUGCGAAUGCUGACAUAAGUAACGAUAAAGCGGGUGAAAAGCCCGCUCGCCGGAAGACCAAGGGUUCCUGUCCAACGUUAAUCGGGGCAGGGUGAGUCGACCCCUAAGGCGAGGCCGAAAGGCGUAGUCGAUGGGAAACGGGUUAAUAUUCCCGUACUUGGUGUUACUGCGAAGGGGGGACGGAGAAGGCUAUGUUGGCCGGGCGACGGUUGUCCCGGUUUAAGCGUGUAGGUGUGUGUUCCAGGUAAAUCCGGUUCACUUUAACACUGAGGCGUGACGACGAGGCACUACGGUGCUGAAGCAACAAAUGCCCUGCUUCCAGGAAAA